rnacentral:tRNA from 1 species
GGUGGGGUGGCUGAGCGGUUGAAAGCGGCAGUCUUGAAAACUGUUAAGGGCGUAAGUCCUUCGUGAGUUCAAAUCUCACCCCCACCG